GUAGGUGGCAAGCGUUGUCCGGGAUUAUUGGGGCGUAAAGCGCGCGCAGGCGGUUCUUUAAGUCUGAUGUGAAAGCCCACGGGCUCAACCGUGGAGGGUCAUUGGAAACUGGAGAACUUGAGUACAGAAGAGGAAAGCGGAAUUCCACGUGUAGCGGUGAAAUGCGUAGAGAUGUGGAGGAACACCAGUGGCGAAGGCGGCUUUCUGGUCUGUAACUGACGCUGAGGCGCGAAAGCGUGGGGAGCAAACAGGAUUAGAUACCCUGGUAGUCCACGCCGUAAACGAUGAGUGCUAAGUGUUAGGGGGUUUCCGCCCCUUAGUGCUGCAGCUAACGCAUUAAGCACUCCGCCUGGGGAGUACGGCCGCAAAGGCUGA
rnacentral:rRNA from 1 species